rnacentral:rRNA from 1 species
AUUGAACGCUGGCGGCAUGCUUUACACAUGCAAGUCGAACGGUAACAGGCCUUCGGGUGCUGACGAGGGGCGGACGGGGGAGUACUGCAUCGGAACGUACCCAGAGGUGGGGGAUAACGCAGCGAAAGGUGUGCUAAUACAGCAUGUGAUCUGAGGAUGAAAGCGGGGGACCGAGCAGCAAUGUUUGGCCUCGCGCCUUUGAAGGGGCCGAUGUCGGAUUAGCUAGUUGGGGGGGUAAAGGCCUACCAAGGCGACGAUCCGUAGCUGGUCUGAGAGGACGACCAGCCAAACGUGGACUGAGACACGGCCCAGGCUCCUACGGGAAGCAGCAGUGGGGAAUUUUGGACAAUUGGGGGAAGCCUGAUCCAAGAAAGCCGCGUUGGGGAAAGAAGCCUUCGGGUUGGAAACCGCCUUUGGCAGGAACAAAACGGUGUCCGCUAAAACCGGGGGCUAAUGGCGGUACCUGCAAAAUAAGCAACGGCUAACUACGUG